GAUGAACGCUGACAGCAUGCUUAACACAUCAGCAAUCGAUUGGUGGCGGACGGGUGAGUAACGCGUAUAGAACUUGCUUCCCAGGUAGGGACAACAUUUGGAACCGAAUGCUAAUACCUAAUCCUGUGAGAGAGCUGUGCGUCCUAUUAGCUAGUUGGCGAGGUAACGGCUCAACAAGGCGAUGAUGGGUAGCCGGCCUGAGAGGGUGAUCGGCUACAAGGGGACGGAGACACGGGCAUUACUCCUACGGGAGGAAGAAGUGGGGGAUAUUGGACAAUGGACCAGAGUCUGAUCGAGAAAUUCUGUGUGCACGAUGAAGUUGUCGGAAUGUAAAGUACUUUCAGUUGGGAAGCGGUACCAACAGAAGAAGUAACGGCUAACUACGUGCCAGCAGCCGCGGUAAUAC
rnacentral:rRNA from 1 species